GGCCAGACUCCUACGGGAGGCAGCAGUGGGGAAUAUUGCACAAUGGGGGAAACCCUGAUGCAGCAACGCCGCGUGAGUGAAGAAGUAUUUCGGUAUGUAAAGCUCUAUCAGCAGGGAAGAGAAUGACGGUACCUGACUAAGAAGCCCCGGCUAACUACGUGCCAGCAGCCGCGGUAAUACGUAGGGGGCAAGCGUUAUCCGGAUUUACUGGGUGUAAAGGGAGCGUAGACGGCAUGGCAAGUCUGAAGUGAAAGCCCGGGGCUCAACCGCGGGACUGCUUUGGAAACUGUUAAGCUGGAGUGCAGGAGAGGUAAGUGGAAUUCCUAGUGUAGCGGUGAAAUGCGUAGAUAUUAGGAGGAACACCAGUGGCGAAGGCGGCUUACUGGACUGUAACUGACGUUGAGGCUCGAAAGCGUGGGGAGCAAACAGGAUUAGAUACCCGAGUA
rnacentral:rRNA from 1 species